CAGUCGAACGGUCUCUUCGGAGGCAGUGGCAGACGGGUGAGUAACGCGUGGGAAUCUACCUGGCUCUACGGAACAACUCAGGGAAACUUGAGCUAAUACCGUAUACGCCCUUCGGGGGAAAGAUUUAUCGGAGUUGGAUGAGCCCGCGUCUGAUUAGCUAGUUGGUGGGGUAAUGGCCUACCAAGGCGACGAUCAGUAGCUGGUCUGAGAGGAUGAUCAGCCACACUGGGACUGAGACACGGCCCAGACUCCUACGGGAGGCAGCAGUGGGGAAUAUUGGACAAUGGGCGCAAGCCUGAUCCAGCCAUGCCGCGUGAGUGAUGAAGGCCCUAGGGUUGUAAAGCUCUUUCACCGGUGAAGAUAAUGACGGUAGCCGGAGAAGAAGCCCCGGCUAACUUCGUGCCAGCAGC
rnacentral:rRNA from 1 species